rnacentral:rRNA from 1 species
CCUACGGGUGGCAGCAGUGGGGAAUAUUGGGCAAUGGGCGCAAGCCUGACCCAGCAACGCCGCGUGAAGGAAGAAGGCUUUCGGGUUGUAAACUUCUUUUGUCAGGGACGAAGCAAGUGACGGUACCUGACGAAUAAGCCACGGCUAACUACGUGCCAGCAGCCGCGGUAAUACGUAGGUGGCAAGCGUUAUCCGGAUUUACUGGGUGUAAAGGGCGUGUAGGCGGGGAAGCAAGUCAGAUGUGAAAACCACGGGCUCAACCUGUGGCCUGCAUUUGAAACUGUUUUUCUUGAGGGCUGGGGAGGCAAUCGGAAUUCCGUGUGUAGCGGUGAAAUGCGUAGAUAUCGAGAGGAACACUCGUGGCGAAGGCGGGUUCCUGGACAUUAACGGACGCUGAGGCACGAAGGCCAGGGGAGCGAAAGGGAUUAGAUACCCCGGUAGUC